AGAGUUUGAUCCUGGCUCAGAACGAACGCUGGCGGCAGGCUUAACACAUGCAAGUUGAACGGGAUUUGUGUGGUGCUUGCACCAUAUAAUGAGAGUAGCGCACUGGUGAGUAACACGUGGGAACGUACCUUUUGGUGGGGGACAACAUCUGGAAACGGAUGCUAAUACCGCAUAAGACCUGAGGGUGAAAGAUUUAUCGCCGAAAGAACGGCCCGCGGAAGAUUAGGCAGUUGGUGGGGUAAAGGCCUACCAAACCUACGAUCUAUAGCUGGUCUGAGAGGACGAUCAGCCACACUGGAACUGAGACACGGUCCAGACUCCUACGGGAGGCAGCAGUGAGGAAUAUUGGGCAAUGGAGGCAACUCUGACCCAGCCAUGCCGCGUGAGUGAAGAAGGUUUUCGGAUUGUAAAGCUCUUUCGGAUGUGACGAUGAUGACGGUAGCAUCUAAAGAAGCCCCGGCUAACUUCGUGCCAGCAGCCGCGGUAAUACGAAGGGGGCGAGCGUUGUUCGGAAUUACUGGGCGUAAAGGGUGUGUAGGCGGUUAUGUAAGAUAGCGGUGAAAUCCCGGGGCUUAACCUCGGAAUAGCCGUUAUAACUAUGUAGCUAGAGUUAUGGAGAGGAUAGCGGAAUACCCAGUGUAGAGGUGAAAUUCGUAGAUAUUGGGUAGAACACCGGUGGCGAAGGCGGCUAUCUGGCCAUAUACUGACGCUGAGGCACGAAAGCAUGGGGAUCAAACAGGAUUAGAUACCCUGGUAGUCCAUGCUGUAAACGAUGAAUGCUGGUUGUCGGCUUUAGGGUCGGUGACGAAGUUAACGCGAUAAGCAUUCCGCCUGGGGAGUACGGUCGCAAGAUUAAAACUCAAAGGAAUUGACGGGGACCCGCACAAGCGGUGGAGCAUGUGGUUUAAUUCGAAGCAACGCGAAGAACCUUACCAAGUCUUGACAUCCCGAUGACAGAACAUGUAAUGUGUUUUCUCUUCGGAGCAUCGGUGACAGGUGGUGCAUGGUUGUCGUCAGCUCGUGUCGUGAGAUGUUGGGUUAAGUCC
rnacentral:rRNA from 1 species